rnacentral:misc_RNA from 1 species
AUCGUCAUCUACGUUUAGCUCCAUGGCGGACGAGACGGAUCAGACGGACGAAUGGCUUGAUUUUUCUUCGUCUUGUUUUGAAAACCAGGAAACGCUUUUCGAGGCGAAGGAUGAGGAAACACAAGAUCCUGAAGAAGACCUAAAGCAUGAAAUAAACGGCUUUAGCAAGCUUGAAGAUAUCCAUGAACUAUUGAAGCAAUCACUACCAGACACCUCCGUCACAACACAUGUGCGUCAGAAAACAAGUUCUUCCCAAUGCACUUCAGAUAUUUCGGCUCUAAACGAGUCAUGUAAACAUUGGAUUUGGGUCGAGUUAAUUUCCAAAUUAAACGCAGUUCGCCAGCCAAAAUGGAUGGGUUCCUGUUUAGAGGAGUGCUUUUGUCGUUCUCUACAGGUCUCGAAAGAUUUAAAUGAAAAAGAACAGCCACAAAUAGAAUCUGAUCAUUCUUGCAAAGACUUCUUUAAUUUCCACAAGAUUUUAUCAACUAAUAAGAGCUGGUUUGCCUUCCAUAUAAAGAGGUUCUCCAUCUCCGGGAUGAACUGAGAGACUACACAAAACAAUAUUCGGAUAUUCUUGUAGUGGAACUGGAGAACCGGGAUGCCUACAUAAGAGAAAAAGAACUAAAAAAUGACUUUAUAUCAAGCUUUUUAUCAGUUCAAGAAAAACUAAGAGAAGUUAAUUCAACAACGAGCAAAAAGAAGUUUUCUUUACAAUCUAGCAAGCAAAACAACCCCCCAAAUAGCCAGAGCUUAACAACAAUACCAUAUGAAAUUAAGAAUGGUGGUCCAAGUAUUGAUAUUUUGGAGAAACUCAUUGAAAUUAUGGAGGCAAUGAAGACAAAUAGUCCUAAUGUCCCAACACUUCUAACAAAUUAUAUUCUCAAUGUAUUGUGCAAAUAAUGAACAAUGGUGUCUCCAUAAAACUUGGUACAAGUUUUUGCCUGGAGCAAAUUGCUGGAAAACAUGCUGUGUGUGUGGCCAGUCUGAUUGAAUUUUAGGCUGCGACUAUAUGUGCUGGCCAUACUGACCUUUUUUAAAUGAAUUGAGAAAUAAUAAAUUAAUUGGACAGAAUGAUUUGUAUUUAGUGGAAUUAGGAUGAAUUAUGGCAGGUUUAGGUAAAAUUAUAGAGUUUGUACAAAGGAGAUUUUG